rnacentral:rRNA from 1 species
CAACGGGUGAGUAACACGUAGGCAACCUGCCGACAGGAUGGGGACAACAUUCCGAAAGGAAUGCUAAUACCGAAUGAAGUCACCGGAGGGCAUCCUCUGGUGAUGAAAGAUGGCCUCUGAACAUGCUAUCACCUGUCGAUGGGCCUGCGUCUGAUUAGCCAGUUGGUGAGGUAACGGCUCACCAAAGCGACGAUCAGUAGCCGGUCUGAGAGGAUGAACGGCCACAUUGGGACUGAGACACGGCCCAGACUCCUACGGGAGGCAGCAGUGGGGAAUCUUCCACAAUGGGCGAAAGCCUGAUGGAGCAACGCCGCGUGAGUGAAGAAGGUCUUCGGAUCGUAAAGCUCUGUUGCACAGGACGAAAACCGGGUUUGAAAAUAUUGAACCUGGGUGACGGUACUGUGCGAGGAAGUCACGGCUAACUACGUGCCAGCAGCCGCGGUAAUACGUAGGUGGCGAGCGUUGUCCGGAAUUAUUGGGCGU